CGGGACGGGUGGGUAAUGUCUGGGAAACUAGCCUGAUGGAGGGGGAUAACUACUGGAAACGGUAGCUAAUACCGCAUAACGUCGCAAGACCAAAGAGGGGGACCUUCGGGCCUCUUGCCAUCGGAUGUGCCCAGAUGGGAUUAGCUAGUAGGUGGGGUAACGGCUCACCUAGGCGACGAUCCCUAGCUGGUCUGAGAGGAUGACCAGCCACACUGGAACUGAGACACGGUCCAG
rnacentral:rRNA from 1 species